UACAGAGGUCCCAAGCGUUGUUCGGAUUCACUGGGCGUAAAGGGUGCGUAGGCGGUCGGGUAAGUCUGACGUGAAAUCUUCAAGCUUAACUUGGAAACUGCGUCGGAUACUAUUCGGCUGGAGGAAUGGAGGGGAGACUGGAAUACUUGGUGUAGCAGUGAAAUGCGUAGAUAUCUGGAGGAACACCGGUGGCGAAGGCGGCAUCCUGGACCGGUAUUGACGCUGAGGCGCGAAAGCCAGGGGAGCAAACGGG
rnacentral:rRNA from 1 species